UGGGAUUACAGGCGUGAGCCACCACACCCUAGCCCUGAGUCUGUUUAUGCUUCUGUCAGGUGUGGCAUGGGCCUGCCUGGGAGCUAUUCUUUUUCUGUAAAGCACAGGCAGUUAAUCAGUGGUCUCUGGGAAGAAUCCAGCUCAGGGUUAUAUUUCGUUUGACCCACUCAAGUUUUAAAAAGUAAAUUAGUUGCCAAUGUGCAAACAUUAGAAGAGUUCACAGCUUCUCCAACAAUACCUAGAAGUUCAUCCGAUGGUGCCCGCAUUCCCUGCUCUGUCUAGAUGGUGCCCACAUUCCCUGCUGUGUCUGGACGGUGCCCACAUUUCCUGCUCCGUCCAGACAGUGCCCACAUUCCCUGCUGUGUCUAGAUGGUGCCCACAUUCCCUGCUCCGUCCAGACAGUGCCCACAUUCCCUGCUCUGUCUAGAUGGUGCCCACAUUCCCUGCUCCGUCCGGACGGUGCCCACAUUCCCUGCUCCAUCCGGACGGUGCCCACAUUCCCUGCUCCGUCCGGACGGUGCCCACAUUCCCUGCUCCGUCCGGACGGUGCCCACAUUCCCUGCUCUGUCCAGAUGGUGCCCACAUUCCCUGCUCCAUCUGGACGGUGCCCACAUUCCCUCCUCUGUCUAGACAGUGCCCACAUUCCCUGCUCCGUCCGGACGGUGCCCACAUUCCCUGCUCUGUCUGGACGGUGCUCACAUUCCCUGCUCUGUCUAGACAGUGCCCACAUUCCCUGCUCCAUCCAGACGGUGCCCAUACUCCCUGCUCUGUCUAGAUGGUGUCCACAUUCCCUGCUCCGUCUAGACUGUGCCCAUAUUCGCUGCUGGCUGCAAAUGCGAGGAGUUGACAGCAGCCUCCCCUUUACAAGGCAGGAGGUGCCACUGUUCGCCAUUGUCUCCACCUAGGGCUUCACUUGCUUUCUAUCUGCAGACAUCAGAGGGACCCACAUCUCUCUGUUCUGACACGCUGUGUGUUGAUGGCAGAGUUUAAUUAUCCACAUGCAAUCUUACUUUCCUUAUUCCCAAGUCCGUGGGGCUGCCUCAUCAAAGCAUUGUAAGAACUGAUAACCAUCUUCUAGAAGUAUCAUAGUGAUAUUAAGAACACACAUCACAGAUCAUAGUAAAUGGCUUUAAUUUUUUAGCGAAAUCUCACUACUGCAA
rnacentral:lncRNA from 1 species